AGAGAUGUGUGAUGACGCAUAUCAAUAAGCGGAGGAAAAGAAACUAACAAGGAUUCCCCUAGUAACGGCGAGUGAAGCGGGAAGAGCUCAAAUUUGAAAUCUUCAAGGGUUUCCCUUGACGAAUUGUAGUUUAAAGAAGUGUUUUCUGUUAGAGAGGUGGUAAAAGUUCUUUGGAAUAGGACAUCAUAGAGGGUGAGAAUCCCGUAUUUGAUCACUUUCUACUAACGUUGUGAUACACUUUCAAAGAGUCGGAUUGUUUGGGAAUGCAGUCCAAAAUGGGUGGUAAAUUUCAUCUAAAGCUAAAUAUUGGCGAGAGACCGAUAGCGAACAAGUACCGUGAGGGAAAGAUGAAAAGAACUUUGAAAAGAGAGUUAAACAGUACGUGAAAUUGUCAAAAGGGAAGCGUUUGACACCAGUGUUGUUUUUCCGAAAAUCAAUUAUGAAUGGCUUGAUUUUAAGUUUCAUGACCUUAAAAGCUUGUUUCUUAUUUUUCAUGUCUUUCGUAAUGCACUUUUCGGUUAACAAGUCAACAUCAAUUUCUUUUGUUGUAAAAGGGUACGAGGAAGGUGGCUUCCUUUUCGGAGUAAAGUGUUUAUAGCCUUGUACCUCUGCAAUCGGAGAGAUUGAGGUCUGCAGCGUAGAUCCUUCGGGGUUAGAUACAUUUGUGCUAAGUUAUAGCUUUUCAUAGACAACUUGUUGACUAUGUUAAGUCUUGUAAUCUUACUCGCAGUAUGCUAUUUUACCUACGCUUAGGAUGUUGAAGAUGUAGCACAUCAU
rnacentral:rRNA from 1 species